rnacentral:rRNA from 1 species
AUGCCCAAGCGGACCAUGGGAGGGAGGGCCGACGCCAUGGAGCACGAAGCAUCCAAGCGACGUGCAAAGCUGCACAUGGAGAAAGCCCUCCCUACCGACGAGGGGUCCAGCCGGCAGCAGGGCGGCCUUGACGUCGUCGACCACGUCCAGGCUCCGGUGCAGGUGUCACCUACGCCAGAGCAGGUGGCUGCUCUGGCUCCUCAGACGGAGCAGGUGUCUCCUCUGCCGCGGGUGACGCCUCCUGUGCCCAAGCCUGUGGUCGUCGGCGUUGUCAACAAAGAAGACGUAGCUCCUCUGGCUUCUCUGCUGGAGCAAGUGGUGGCUCCUCAGCCUCAGCCGGGUGUUCGUCUGAUGCGGCUGUUGCCUCCCCUGCCCGCACAUGUGGUCGUCGCCGACGAGAACGAAGAAGAGGUCCUAAGUGACGACGUUGACAGCGACCCAGAAACCCAGUGGAUCUUCAGGAGGCAGAAGGUGAGGCAGCUGGACAGUGGUGAGCUCGAGAAAGCUGUGAGGCCUAGAUUCAGAAACGGCUACGGAUGCCCUUACUGCAACAAGGUGAUGAAAGGCGACCUGUCGAUCGAGUACCAUCAACCAUGCAGUCGGAACAUCCCAAGGCAGCACCAAGAAUGGCUACGCUUUCAGGGUGAAGCACACUGCGUAUGUUGA